GAUGAAGAACGUAGCGAAAUGCGAUAAGUAAUGCGAAUUGCAGAAUUCAGUGAAUCAUCGAAUCUUUGAACGCACAUUGCGCCCGCCAGUAUUCUGGCGGGCAUGCCUGUCUGAGCGUCGUUUCGACCCUCGCGCCCGGCUUCUGUCGGGGGCGGUGUUGGGGAUCGGCCACACCCUUCAGUGGGAGGCCGGCCCCUAAAUUCAGUGGCGACCACGCUGUAGCCUCCCCUGCGUAGUACUAAAACCACCUCGCAGGCGGAGAGCGGUGCGGCCCGCCGUAAAACCCCCCAACUUUUACAAGGUCGACCUCAGAUCAGGUAGGAAUACCCGCUGAACUUAAGCAUAUCAUAAGCGGAGGA
rnacentral:misc_RNA from 1 species